rnacentral:rRNA from 1 species
CUUGGUCAUUUAGAGGAAGUAAAAGUCGUAACAAGGUUUCCGUAGGUGAACCUGCGGAAGGAUCAUUAAAGAAUUGCCCCAUUUUUUGAAAUGGGUUCUAUUCCCAAACCGUGUAUACAUACCUUUGUUGCUUUGGCAAGCCGUCCUUCGGGCGCAGCUUCGGCUGAGAGCGCUUGCCAGAGGACCCCAACUCUUUUGUUUAGUGAUGACUGAGUACUAUAUAAUAGUUAAAACUUUCAACAACGGAUCUCUUGGUUCUGGCAUCGAUGAAGAACGCAGCGAAAUGCGAUAAGUAAUGUGAAUUGCAGAAUUCAGUGAAUCAUCGAAUCUUUGAACGCACAUUGCGCCCCUUGGUAUUCCGAGGGGCAUGCCUGUUCGAGCGUCAUUAUGACCACUCAAGCCUAGCUUGGUAUUGGGGUUCGCGGUCUCGCGGCUCUUAAAAUCAGUGGCGGUGCCAUCUGGCUCUAAGCGUAGUAAUUCUCUCGCUAUAGGGCACCGGUAGUUGCUUGCCAAAACCCCCCUAUUUCUCACGGUUGACCUCGGAUCAGGUAGGGAUACCCGCUGAACUUAAGCAUAUCAAUAAGCGGAGGA